rfam:Myceliophthora thermophila ATCC 42464 chromosome 2, complete sequence.
GGGAGCUUGGCUCAGUUGGAAGAGCGCAGGUCUCAUACGUUUGUAUGACUGGGUGCUUACACCCAGAAAUCCUGAGGUCGUGAGUUCGAGCCUCACAGUUCCCA